UGUGGAUUUGAUUGCACGCUUGUGUCAAAGUAUGCCUGCCCUAUUGUAGUACUAGUAUGAUCUGUGCUAAUCUUAUUACUGUUUGCAGUUUUGUGUUGCAUGGGAGCUCUUGCAACAACAGGGCUCUUCACUUUACGUUGACAAUGACAGGCUAAAUCUGGGUCUCUCUAAAUGGGCGUCCACUUGUCCAGACUAGCUUCCCGACAUGGGUUACUCGCUCACUCUUGCUCGUGUGUGAAUGUAACGCAAGAAAACGCUCAGUUCUGCUGUGGUUCUUGGAGCCAAUGCUGAGCCAUCCAUCUGCAAUUCUGGUAAGUUAAUGAAUAAUACUAUACAUACUCUCACUUUUUACUCUCUGCUGUUGUGGCAUACUUUGAUUCAUCCAUAAAAAAAUAGCUCACAGUUUUGAUCCAUUUGUUUUCUGUUUCCCCAAUAAAAUUCAGACAAGUGGCAAGAGUUUUACUUCCUUAGAGUACGUACAUUUACCAUUUUCUUAAGUUAACAGGUCUAACUGUUGUUCAAAUUUUUGGGCGAUUCUAGGUUUCCCCACACCCCCCAAGUUGGAUCAUCUGUACAAAUCCAAUUGUACAAUGAUGAAGAACAACUUGUACCGAUAUUAAGGGUUAAUACAAUGUGGUACAACACUACAACUUGUUAUGUACAACUUGUAAAACAUAUAUGUAUCACAUAUUCACAUUAAUCAAAUGGUAACAUAUAUAGCA